CAUGCAAGUCGAACGCGAAAGUCCCGCAAGGGAUGAGUAGAGUGGCAAACGGGUGAGUAACACGUGGGUGACCUGCCUUCGAGUGGGGGAUAACGUCCCGAAAGGGACGCUAAUACCGCAUGACAUCCUGCCUUUCAAGAGGCGGUGAUCAAAGCUGGGGAUCGCAAGACCUAGCGCUUGGAGAGGGGCCCGCGUCCGAUUAGCUAGUUGGUGGGGUAAUGGCUCACCAAGGCAACGAUCGGUAGCCGGCCUGAGAGGGCGGACGGCCACACUGGGACUGAGACACGGCCCAGACUCCUACGGGAGGCAGCAGUGGGGAAUUGUUCGCAAUGGGCGCAAGCCUGACGACGCAACGCCGCGUGGAGGAUGAAGAUCUUCGGGUCGUAAACUCCUUUCGAUCGAGACGAACGGCCUCCGGGUGAACAAUCCGGAGGAGUGACGGUACCGAGAGAAGAAGCCCCGGCUAACUCCGUGCCAGCAGCCGCGGUAAUACGGGGGGGGCAAGCGUUGUUCGGAAUUACUGGGCGUAAAGGGCUCGUAGGCGGCCAACUAAGUCAGACGUGAAAUCCCUCGGCUUAACCGAGGAACUGCGUCUGAUACUGGAUGGCUUGAAUCCGGGAGAGGGAUGCGGAAUUCCAGGUGUAGCGGUGAAAUGCGUAGAUAUCUGGAGGACACCGGUGGCGAANGCGGCAUCCUGGNCCGGCAUUGACGCUGA
rnacentral:rRNA from 1 species